rnacentral:rRNA from 1 species
AUACGUAGGGGGCGAGCGUUGUCCGGAAUGAUUGGGCGUAAAGGGCGCGUAGGCGGCCCGGUAAGUCUGGAGUGAAAGUCCUGUUUUUAAGAUGGGAAUUGCUUUGGAUACUGUCGGGCUUGAGUGCAGGAGAGGUAAGUGGAAUUCCCAGUGUAGCGGUGAAAUGCGUAGAGAUUGGGAGGAACACCAGUGGCGAAGGCGACUUACUGGACUGUAACUGACGCUGAGGCGCGAAAGUGUGGGGAGCAAACAGGAUUAGAUACCCUGGUAGUCCACACUGUAAACGAUGAAUGCUAGGUGUAGGGGGUAUCGACCCCUUCUGUGCCGCAGUUAACACAAUAAGUAUUCCGCCUGGGGAGUACGGCCGCAAGGUUGAAACUCAAAUGAAUUGGCGGGG